UACGUAGGGGCCUAGCGUUGUCCGGAUUUAUUGGGCGUAAAGAGCUCGUAGGCGGUUUGGUGAGUCGGGUGUGAAAUCUCCACGCUCAACGUGGAGGAGCCACCCGAUACUGCCAUGACUAGAGUCCGGUAGGGGAGUGUGGAAUUCCCGGUGUAGCGGUGAAAUGCGCAGAUAUCGGGAGGAACACCAGUAGCGAAGGCGGGUCUCUGGGCCGAUACUGACGCUGAGGAGCGAAAGCGUGGGGAGCAAACAGG
rnacentral:rRNA from 1 species